rfam:Microlunatus phosphovorus NM-1 DNA, complete genome.
GACAGCGCGUGCGGCGAGGCUUCAACCCGCAGGUCCGUUUGCCCUGGCACACCUUCCCCGGUGCCAGGUCAGAUGAGGCGGGUCUCGGGUUGAAACCUGGCGGUACGCGCUGACUGUC